GUUCACUUCAGUAGUACCUUUGCUAAAAUUGGAAAGAGACAAAUUAGAUUAACAUGGCUCCUGUUCAAGGAUGGCAAACAAAUUCCUGAAGUGUUCCAUUUUUUA